CAGAGGAACACGAAGGUCGAUUGCGCGCAUCCCAUCUUCCUCAAUAAUGUACCCGGAUUCAAGGUAUGCCUACGUUGAGACUCCAGGCACGGCAAACGGAGACGAAAAGUAGAGUGGAGUGCCUUCUUGCUCGCAAGCAAACGGCCGCUCUUUCGACUUGGAAAGAAGCCUCGAAGCCGAAGACGCUCUGUUUAUACAGUAGACGUCUCUCCAUGAGAGGAAUAAUUUAUUCUGUGUUCGACGAUACGUGUCUCUGUUAUUUCAAUGCAGUUUCAGGCCGUGCUUGACACGGUUACAUUAUGGAGGAAGGAGUUGUAUAGGAUAAAAUUAUUUUUCUUCCUCUUUA